rnacentral:rRNA from 1 species
AGACGGAGGGCGCAAGCGUUGUUCGGAAUCACUGGGCAUAAAGAGCACGUAGGCGGUCUACUAAGUCGAAUGUGAAAGCCCUCGGCUCAACCGGGGAACUGCAUCCGAAACUGGUAGACUGGAGGAAGGCAGGGGUGAGUGGAACUCCAGGUGGAACGGUGAAAUGUGUAGAUAUCUGGAGGAACACCGGUGGCGAAAGCGGCUCACUGGGCCUUUCCUGACGCUGAGGUGCGAAAGCUAGGGUAGCAAACGGCAGUAGAAACCCCGGUAGUCC